UACGUAGGGGGCAAGCGUUGUCCGGAUUUAUUGGGCGUAAAGAGCGUGUAGGCGGCCAUGUAGGUCCGUUGUGAAAACUCGAGGCUCAACCUCGAGACGCCGAUGGAAACCAUGUGGCUAGAGUCCGGAAGAGGAGAGUGGAAUUCCCGGUGUAGUGGUGAUAUGCGUAGAUAUCGGGAGGAACACCAGUGGCGAAGGCGGCUCUCUGGGCCUUUCCUGACGCUGAGACGCGAAAGCGUGGGGAGCGAACCGG
rnacentral:rRNA from 1 species